rnacentral:rRNA from 1 species
UGGGAAUAUUGCACAAUGGGGAACCCGUGAUGCAGCGACGCCGCGUGGAGGAAGAAGGUCUUCGGAUUGUAAACUCCUGUUGUUGGGACGAUAAUGACGGUACCCAACAAGGAAGUGACGGCUAACUACGUGCCAGCAGCCGCGGUAAAACGUAGGUCACAAGCGUUGUCCGGAAUUACUGGGUGUAAAGGGAGCGCAGGCGGGAAGACAAGUUUGGGAGUGAAAUCUAUGGGCUCAACCCAUAAACUGCUCUCAAAACUGUUUUCUUGAGUAGUGCAGAGGUAGGCGGAAUUCCCGGUGUAGCGGUGGAAUGCGUAGAUAUCGGGAGGAACACCAGUGGCGAAAGGCGGCCUACUGGGGCACCAACUGACGCUGAGGCUCGAAAAGUGUGGGUAGC